rnacentral:rRNA from 1 species
AGGUUAAGUGAAUAAGGGCGCACGGUGGAUGCCUUGGCACUAGGAGCCGAUGAAGGACGGGACUAACACCGAUAUGCUUUGGGGAGCUGUACGUAAGCUAUGAUCCAGAGAUUUCCGAAUGGGGGAACCCAACAUCUUUAAUAGGAUGUUACGAUUGUGUGAAUACAUAGCACAUUCGAGGUAGACGCAGAGAACUGAAACAUCUAAGUACCUGCAGGAAGAGAAAGAAAAUUCGAUUCCCUGAGUAGCGGCGAGCGAAACGGGAAAAGCCCAAACCAGCAAGCUUGCUUGUUGGGGUUGUAGGACUCCAAUAUGGUAGUUCUUUCAGAUAGUCGAAUGACUUGGAAAAGUCAGUCAAAGAGGGUAAAAACCCCGUAGACGAAAUGUGGAAGACACCUAGGAGGAUCCUGAGUACGGCGGAACACGAGAAAUUCCGUCGGAAUCCGGGAGGACCAUCUCCCAAGGCUAAAUACUCCCUAGUGACCGAUAGUGAACCAGUACCGUGAGGGAAAGGUGAAAAGCACCCCGGAAGGGGAGUGAAAUAGAACCUG